UACGGAGGGUGCGAGCGUUGUCCGGAUUGAUUGGGCGUAAAGAGCUCGUAGGCGGCUCGUUGCGUCGGCUGUGAAAACCCGCAGCUCAACUGUGGGCCUGCAGCCGAUACGGGCGGGCUGGAGUUCGGAAGAGGCGAGUGGAAUUCCCGGUGUAGCGGUGAAAUGCGCAGAUAUCGGGAGGAACACCAGUAGCGAAGGCGGCUCGCUGGGCCACUCCUGACGCUGAGACGCGAAAGCUAGGGGAGCGAACAGG
rnacentral:rRNA from 1 species